ensembl:lncRNA
UUUGAAGAGCCUUGGUCUCAAUCGCUAGGAAAAAGCCCCCACCUGCGCCUCGCCCCAGUUAUAUGGCCUUGGGGAAGUCCGCUCUGACUGCAAUUUCCCCCAGAAGGUAGCAUCGGCGGUGCCCAAGAUCCUAGCAUGAGGGUCAAGUCGGCCCACCUGAUCGAUCUGGGAGUCUGGGAGUCCGUGUGCGGGCUGGGGAAUAGCAGUCCUGCUUACCUAUCACCCCACCUCCCAAAGGUGGAGGUCUGGCGCCCUCUGCCGGGCGAUGGCAUCGGCGCGGCGACUUUGGGAACAAGUGAACAGACCCAGAACAAUGUCCGCGUGGCCCCAAACCACGCGGGCGGGAGCCUCUUUCUAGCAAGGCCCAGAGGCGUGAGCAGAGAAAGACUCCAUCGAGGAGGGGACAGGAAAGGCCAGGGUAGAUGUAGUUGCGACCAGCUGGGUCCCCUUUGGUCCACUUCAGACUGAUUACCCCCACCUCCACCAAGACAAUUUGUUUUUUUCCAGACAGCAGAAAUACCUAUCCUUCUCAAGCUGUUUCCCUGACCCUCCUACCCCAUGACCACAAUGGCUAUUUGCUGAGCAUUUACUCUGGAUGAGUACUCUCAGGGAGGCUGGCUGAAACCACCCUGCCCCCAUCCCUCCUUGCACUUUGGGCUGGGCUUUGCACAAAUUAGGCCAGUGGUCCGGAGGUGCAGAGGGGUCCCGAGGAGACAGGCACCAGGGCAUGGUUAGGUGAGAAAGCAGGGUCUUUCCCAGCUAGGAUAGGAUCUCUGAUAAUUUCCUCAGAGAAGGGCUGGCAGGACUCAGGAUCUUCUUGCCCCCACCCCGAAGGCUCCCCAUUUUCAAGCACUCAGCAAGGAUCAGGUAAAGUUUAUUUCCAGAGGAAGUUGCCAGCCUGGCAGUUCCAUAAAUGCCAGGUCAACGUUUUCAGCGGCUGCAAGGCAUAAUCUGACCACCAGAUGGCAGCAGAGACUGCCCCUGGAAGCUUUCACAGAGCACAGACCUGGGGAAGAGAGAAGCCCAGCUCCAGGCUGUUAAGAGAGCCCUCAAGAACCCCUAGAAAAAUUUACAGCGAUUCAUUCAUUUUUUGCAGUACAAGUUUAUUGAGAGGCAACUGUGUUCCUGCUUUUGAGGAAUUCAGUCUUGGGGGAAGCAGUCUAAAGGAGUCUGCAAGAUGUGAACUAUUUAGACCAGAGCCCCUGUGGGAUUCUCAGAGAGCUGGGUAGUUAGUACAUGAACUAAGCUUGGCAGUGCUGGCAGGAAGGGCCAAUGGAAGUAGGAUGGGCGCCCAGCUUGAGUAAAUGCAUGGUGGCUGGAAAGCCCCAUCAAGUUUGGCAAUGGCUGGGGCGUGAGAGAGGCAAGAUAUGGCUGUCAAGGAAACCAAGGCAUAGACCAUGGAGGCCUGGCUGCCAGGCUCAAGACAGGAGUCAGACACAGGCUCUGAACAGAAGAGCCAAGCCAAAGCUCUCUCCGGUGACUGAGGAGGAGCUGUGAUUGGCUGGUGAGGCCAUGGCUGGGGCCAUCUCUGCACAGGGGCAGCCUGGUGCUGGCAGGAGAAGAGGGGAAGAGCAUCCCUCAGGGAGAGGCAGGAUGGAAGACGGUUUUGAGAGAGAGGGGAGGACCACUUACCUUUGAGCCAACUGCAGGCUUGACCUUGUAUCAGGGAUCCUGAAGCUCAGGGAGUGACUGGGAGAGUAAGACUGCCUCAUCUGGGAGGGUCAUUGGGAGAAUUUACUUAGAAGACUCAUCCUACUCUGAGCAAACUGUGGUAACUGCUCCAGCCUGGAGGGGGAGUCCACUUGACUUUCCUCAAAGUCCUCAGACCUGAGUUUCUACCUUUUCUAUGAAAUGAAUUUCAACUUACAACAAAUGACAUAACACAGAGCCAAGAGGAGGGAAAGUGGGUCUUCCCAGCCUGGCCUGGGCCCAGGCAAGACAGCUGACACUGGCUCCAGCCUGCCCACCCACCCUGCCUGGCCAAGAGGUUGGCGGAGCCCCAACCCCACCCUGCAGGGAGCGUGUUUGAUUUGGACCUGGCUCCAGUGGUGGUGCAGGGGCUGGCUUUGUAGCUAAAAAUACCCAGUGGCCAGGCCAGCUGCUCAGAGCUUCCUCAGAGGCACUGGGCCAGGGCAGGCCAGCUGAGGCACUGCAAACGCCCACAGGCCCACGGAGCCCUACUCCCUUACCUGCAAGACAAUCUGAGGACCCAGGCCAUUCUUCUCUUCACCAGGUAUUCCUGGAGAGAUUUGGGAGGAGAAGAAAAAAAUUCUUUAACCUGGUUCUUGCCACAGAACUGCUGGGACACAGAAACCUAGAGUUGGCAGGUAAACGACUUGUGUUCACACUUAGGCCUAGGGGCUCUCCCAGUGUUAAGUCGUUCAGCCAUGUCUAACUCUUUGUAACCCUAUGGACUGUAGCCUGCUAGGCUCCUUUAUCCAUGGGAUUCUCCAGGCAAGAAUACUGGAGUGGGUAGCCAUUCCCUACUCCAGAAGAUCUUUCCAACCCAAAGACUGAACCCGGGUCUCCUGCAUUGCAGGCAGAUUGUUUACCGUCUGAGCCACCUGGGAAGCCCUGGGUGUCUAGUGAGGCCAACUGACCCCAGGAGAGAAGUAGGGCCAGAUACACUUCUGUCUUAUGAGGUCAAGGUCUGGCCAGCACAGAUCAGGACAGGGAAGUGGCCCAGGGUGGCCUGGGGGAUCAAAGAUGUCUCUUCCUGUGCUAGGGCUCUCCUCCAGGCUCGACAUUUGGUAACAGGGCUGGGGGAGUGACUGCCAGAGUAAAAGGGCGGCCUUCAUAAAGCCAGACUCAGAAACAGCUCAAGAGGUUAUCCGCCAACUUCCCCCUCCUGGUUCACAAAGGGAGACCACUAGUCCUAGAGGGGCGGGAUCUUGUCGAGGUCACUGGGCAAAAGGGGACAAGACAGCACUGGACCCAGGCGGCCUCUGAGAUGGCCGGGUGCCCGCCACAGUCCAGGCAGACGCCGAGUUUCCACCCAGAGGGUCCGAAAGGUCGUACUCCACACCGCGCCUGUUGGCCGACGGGCCGGAAGGGGCGGGGCCCUGGCGUCCAGUAGAAAGGCAGGUCCGGCCACCUCCCAGCCGCCCUUCCGCUGGCGUGGCCCUCUCCAGGCAGGCUCCACCGGCUGGGCGCCAGGAACGCCCCGCCCCGAGCUCGCUGGGUGACCGGUGGGCGGGGCCACCCUCGUGCGCAGGAACCUCCGUCUGAGGACCGAUAGGCUGCCUCGCCCCUCCCUUCACCUAGGAGGUGAAACCAGCAUGUGGACAAAGAAAUUCAAGAGGGAGAAAAAAGGAAAAAGAAGCGAGAAGGGGGUACAAUCCUUCCAGGUCUUCCGGACACCCCUCCCUCUCCAAGAAUCACAACCCGACCCCAGGGGAGCGCCUCAUUGUUCCCUAAUUGGUCCUGAGGGCGGGUGUGGAGGAACUGGAACUGGCUGUAGCCCUUCAGGCUGCUGCUGUGAGGGAAAGAGUUCAAUUAUUUAACCAUCCAGUGUCCACGGGAGGUAAAGACCCCUGCUCCGUGGAGCCCCAAGGACUCGAUCAGAAAGGAUGGAGGACACCCUCAGGUGGCAGAAACAUCACCUGAGGAUCGAAGGGAGUUGAACGAACACAUCAGUGGCAGAGCAGAAUCUAAACCUUAGGACUGGGACAAGUGUGGAACUCGGGAAGAGUCUCAUAGUAUAGGAUAUUAAUAAUCUAAGCCUCACCAGCUUUUACAAAGUGCUCACUCUGGGCAGGGGAAAGGGAGUCUAGUGCCCAGUGUAGGCAGCUGCACCCCCUUCACCCGAGCAAAGGACAGGAUGGACCAAAUCCAGCUUAUCUGGGAUAAGACCCUCCUGCGGUCAAGACUCGGCAGCCAGAAGGAACUACGAGUACCACGCUGGCUACUUUCAACCAGACAGCUUUGCCGGCUCCCGGGCAGUGAUGCCAGCAGACAGCUGGCACGGGCAAGAGACCAAAAUAACCCAGACAGCUGGGGCCAGGGGGUGCCACGGACACAGGCGCUGGGCUGGAAGUCAAGACACCUGGAACCUCAUUCUGACUGCCCGUGGUGGCCUCCUGACCUUGAGUGAGUCACUUCUACUCUCCCAGUUGCAGGGGGGGAACCGCUAAAUCAGGACCCAUUAUGGAACAGCCUGUGGACUUGAGGAAGGGCCACCACCCCAACUCACACACUGGAGGAAAAACAGUGCUGGCCCCCAGCCGGCAGAAAGUCAGUCUUCCCCUCUGCCCAGAGACUUGGCCACAUGCUAUGGGGUGGGCUAGUUGGGGAGGAGCCUACAGAUAGCCCAGCCACCUAGGAAUGAAGGCCAACUAUUAUAGUGAAGCCAGAACAUGAGGCCGGCAUCCCUUAAUCGCACUUAAUCUGCCCUCCACCCUUUACAGCAGGCUUCAUUAUCAUCACUUUACACAGGAGACUCGCCCAAGGUCACCAGCACCCUGGAGAGUCAAGCCCACAGCUGCCUGACCCACAGCUUCCCUUGGUG